GGCUCAGAACGAACGCUGGCGGCGCGCCUAAUACAUGCAAGUCGAGCGAGAAGGUGUGGCAAUACACUUGUAAAGCGGCGAACGGGUGAGGAAUGCAUGGGUAACCUACCCUCGAGUGGGGAAUAACUAGCCGAAAGGUUAGCUAAUACCGCAUACGUUUCCGGGACUUCGGUACCGGAAGGAAAGCAAUACCGUGGGUAUUGCGCUCAUGGAUGGGCUCAUGUCCUAUCAGCUUGUUGGUGGGGUAACGGCCUACCAAGGCUUUGACGGGUAGCUGGUCUGAGAGGACGAUCAGCCACACUGGCACUGCGACACGGGCCAGACUCCUACGGGAGGCAGCAGUAAGGAAUAUUGCGCAAUGGGCGAAAGCCUGACGCAGCGACGCCGCGUGGAGGAUGAAGGUCUUCGGAUUGUAAACCCCUUUCGGGAGGGAAGAUGGAGCGAGCAAUCGUUCGGACGGUACCUCCAGAAGCAGCCACGGCCAACUUCGUGCCAGCAGCCGCGGUAAUACGAAGGUGGCAAGCGUUGUUCGGAUUCACUGGGCGUACAGGGUGUGUAGGCGGUUUGGUAAGCCUUCUGUUAAAGCUUCGGGCCCAACCCGGAAAGCGCAGAGGGUACUGCCAGGCUAGAGGGUGGGAGAGGAGCGCGGAAUUCCCGGUGUAGCGGUGAAAUGCGUAGAGA
rnacentral:rRNA from 1 species